rnacentral:rRNA from 1 species
GAUGAACGCUGGCGGCGUGCCUAAUACAUGCAAGUCGAGCGAACGGACGAGAAGCUUGCUUCUCUGAUGUUAGCGGCGGACGGGUGAGUAGCACGUGGAUAACCUACCUCUAAGACUGGGAUAACUUCGGGAAACCGGAGCUAAUACCGGAUAAUAUUUUGAACCGCAUGGUUCAAAAGUGAAAGACGGUCUUGCUGUCACUUAUAGAUGGAUCCGCGCUGCAUUAGCUAGUUGGUAAGGUAACGGCUUACCAAGGCGACGAUGCAUAGCCGACCUGAGAGGGUGAUCGGCCACACUGGAACUGAGACACGGUCCAGGCUCCUACGGGAGGCAGCAGUAGGGAAUCUUCCGCAAUGGGCGAAAGCCUGACGGAGCAACGCCGCGUGAGUGAUGAAGGUCUUCGGAUCGUAAAACUCUGUUAUUAGGGAAGAACAGAUGUGUAAGUAACUGUGCACAUCUUGACGGUACCUAAUCAGAAAGCCACGGCUAACUACGUG